UACGGAGGGUGCGAGCGUUGUCCGGAAUCACUGGGCGUAAAGGGCGCGUAGGCGGCGCGGAUAGUCGGCGGUGAAAGCCCCGGGAGCUCAACUCCGGGUCGGCCGUCGAUACUUCCGGGCUGGAGCACUGUAGAGGCGAUGGAAUUCCGGGUGUAGCGGUGGAAUGCGUAGAGAUCCGGAAGAACACCGGUGGCGAAGGCGGUGAGCUGGGCGAGUUGGCUGACACUGAGGCGCGACGAGCGUGGGGAGCAAACAGGAUUGAGAUA
rnacentral:rRNA from 1 species